rnacentral:tRNA from 1 species
AGUGAAGUGGCCGAUAUAGGUGUUAGUCUCUUAAAUUAAUUAAGAGUAAAUUAGUUAAUA